rnacentral:rRNA from 1 species
AUUGAACGCUGGCGGCAGGCCUAACACAUGCAAGUCGAGCGGAUGAAGGGAGCUUGCUCCUGGAUUCAGCGGCGGACGGGUGAGUAAUGCCUAGGAAUCUGCCUGGUAGUGGGGGAUAACGUCCGGAAACGGGCGCUAAUACCGCAUACGUCCUGAGGGAGAAAGUGGGGGAUCUUCGGACCUCACGCUAUCAGAUGAGCCUAGGUCGGAUUAGCUAGUUGGUGGGGUAAAGGCCUACCAAGGCGACGAUUCGUAACUGGUCUGAGAGGAUGAUCAGUCACACUGGAACUGAGACACGGUCCAGACUCCUACGGGAGGCAGCAGUGGGGAAUCUUGGACAAUGGGCGAAAGCCUGAUCCAGCCAUGCCGCGUGUGUGAAGAAGGUCUUCGGAUUGUAAAGCACUUUAAGUUGGGAGGAAGGGCAGUAAGUUAAUACCUUGCUGUUUUGACGUUACCAACAGAAUAAGCACCGGCUAACUUCGUG